UAUCGCUCAUGGCCAAUGUCACACAGAAUUUUCAACCAGGAUGGGAACGCCCAGCAGCUGGAUGUCCAGCUGCCAAUUCAUCAAUUUGAGAAGAAGAGGAGGGAACACACAGAGACAGAGGAGAAGGCCCUAUGAAGAUGGAGGCAGAGACUGCAGUUAUGUUUCCACAGCCUGAGGAACGCCUGUGGCCACCAGCAGCUGGAGGAGGCAAGGAAGGAUUCUUAGAGCCUUCAGUGGAAGUAUGUAUGGGCCCACUGCACCUUGAUUUCUGACCUCUAGUCUCCAGGCCUGUAAGAGAAUAAAUUUCUGUUGUUUAAAGGCAUCACAUUUGCAUAAUUUGUUAUGGCAGUCCUAGAACAGUGAUACACAGGGUAGAUCCAAAGGUGCCAUCAAUAGGGAAUAUACACAGUUAUUUACAUGAAAUUGGCAUAUCAUCGCUGUGAAAGGAAAAUAAUUGGGGACCCCAAAUCACUAAGCCAAAGGGAAAAGUCAAGCUGGGAACUGGCAAACCUGCCUCCCAUUCUAUUCCUACGUAAGGUUGCUAC
rnacentral:lncRNA from 1 species